rnacentral:tRNA from 1 species
GCCUGGGUGGCUCAGUGGUUGAGUGUCUGCCUUUGGCUCAGGUUGUGAUCCCAGGGUCCUGGGAUCGAGUCCCACAUCAGGCU